rnacentral:rRNA from 1 species
GACGUAGGGGGCCAGCGUUGUUCGGAAUUACUGGGUGUAAAGGGUUCGUAGGCGGUGCGGCAAGUUGGGAGUGAAAUCUCUGGGCUUAACCCAGAGGCUGCUUCCAAAACUGCUGUGCUUGAGUGUGGGAGAGGCGCGUGGAAUUGCAGGUGUAGCGGUGAAAUGCGUAGAUAUCGUAAGGAAGACCAGUGGCGAAGGCGGGGUCUCUGGACAGUUCCUGACGCUGAGGCACGAAGGCCAGGGGAGCAAAACGGG